rnacentral:rRNA from 1 species
CAGGCCUAACACAUGCAAGUCGAACGGUAGCACAGAGGAGCUUGCUCCUUGGGUGAUGAGUGGCGGACGGGUGAGUAAUGUCUGGGAAACUGCCCGAUGGAGGGGGAUAACUACUGGAAACGGUACGUAAUACCGCAUAACGUCGCAAGACCAAAGAGGGGGACCUUCGGGCCUCUUGCCAUCGGAUGUGCCCAGAUGGGAUUAGCUAGUAGGUGGGGUAACGGCUCACCUAGGCGACGAUCCCUAGCUGGUCUGAGAGGAUGACCAGCCACACUGGAACUGAGACACGGUCCAGACUCCUACGGGAGGCAGCAGUGGGGAAUAUUGCACAAUGGGCGCAAGCCUGAUGCAGCCAUGCCGCGUGUAUGAAGAAGGCCUUCGGGUUGUAAAAGUACUUUCAGCGAGGAGGAAGGCAUUGUGGUUAAUAACCGCAGUGAUUGACGUUACUCGCAGAAGAAGCACCGGCUAACUCCGUGCCAGCAGCCGCGGUAAUACGGAGGGUGCAAGCGUUAAUCGGAAUUACUGGGCGUAAAGCGCACGCAGGCGGUCUGACAAGUCGGAUGUGAAAUCCCCUGGCUCAACCUGGGAACUGCAUCCGAAACUGGCAGGCUAGAGUCUUGUAGAGGGGGGUAGAAUUCCAGGUGUAGCGGUGAAAUGCGUAGAGAUCUGGAGGAAUACCGGUGGCGAAGGCGGCCCCCUGGACAAAGACUGACGCUCAGGUGCGAAAGCGUGGGGAGCAAACAGGAUUAGAUACCCUGGUAGUCCACGCCGUAAACGAUGUCGACUUGGAGGUUGUGCCCUUGAGGCGUGGCUUCCGGAGCUAACGCGUUAAGUCGACCGCCUGGGGAGUACGGCCGCAAGGUUAACACUCAAAUGAAUUGACGGGGCCCGCACAAGCGGUGGAGCAUGUGGUUUAAUUCGAUGCAACGCGAAGAACCUUACCUACUCUUGACAUCCACGGAACUUAGCAGAGAUGCUUUGGUGCCUUCGGGAACUGUGAGACAGGUGCUGCAUGGCUGUCGUCAGCUCGUGUUGUGAAAUGUUGGGUUAAGUCCCGCAACGAGCGCAACCCUUAUCCUUUGUUGCCAGCGGUCAGGCCCGGGAACUCAAAGGAGACUGCCAGUGAUAAACUGGAGGAAGGUGGGAUGACGUCAAGUCAUCAUGGCCCUUACGAGUAGGGCUACACACGUGCUACAAUGGCAUAUACAAGAGAAGCGACCUCGCGAGAGCAAGCGGACCUCAUAAAGUAUGUCGUAGUCCGGAUUGGAGUCUGCAACUCGACUCCCAUGAAGUCGGAAUCGCUAGUAAUCGUGGGAAUCAGAAUGCCACGGUGAAUACGUUCCCGGGCCUUGUACACACCGCCC